rnacentral:ncRNA from 2 species
UAAUCGAUUAAAGCGCCUGAACUACCAUGAGUGUAGUUGACGAGGAGAGGGAGUAUCGAGUGUUCGGCGGAUGCCCUCCGGUUGUAGCAUGACAACCGUUAGACUUUUGGAGAAAACAAAGAGGCAACUCUUUGCACAAAGCCAGAAGUAACCAUGCCU